AUUGAACGCUGGCGGCAUGCUUUACACAUGCAAGUCGAACGGCAGCGCGUGCUUCGGCCUGGCGGCUAGUGGCGAACGGGUGAGUAAUACAUCGGAACGUGCCCAGUAGUGUGGGAUAGAUCGGCGAAAGCCGGAUUAAUACCGCAUACGACCUGAGGGUGAAAUCGGGGGAUCUUCGUACCUCGCGCUAUGGGAGCGUCCGAUUGCAGGUUAGCUAGUUGGUGGGGUAAAGGCCUACCAAGGCGACGAUCUGUAGCUGGUCUGAGAGGACGACCAGCCAGCCUGGGAGUGAGACACGGCCCGGCCUCCUACGGGCGGCAGCAGUGGGUGAUUAUGGACAAUGGGCGAAAGGCUGAUCCAGCAAUGCAGCGUGUGAGGAAGGCCUUCGGGUUGUAAAGCACUUUUGGCGGGAACGAAAAGGACUGUGCCAAUACCACGGUUCGAUGACGGUACCCGCAGAAUAAGCACCGGCUAACUACGUG
rnacentral:rRNA from 1 species